rnacentral:rRNA from 1 species
AAGUCUUGACAUCCCGAUGACCCGGUCUGUAAUGGGACCUUCUCUUCGGAGCAUCGGUGACAGGUGGUGCAUGGUUGUCGUCAGCUCGUGUCGUGAGAUGUUGGGUUUAAGUUCCCGCAACGAGCGCAACCCUUAUCUUCAGUAGCCAGCAUUAAGGAUGGGCACUCUGGAGAGACUGCCAGGGAUAACCUGGAGGAAGGUGGGGAUGACGUCAAAUCAUCAUGCCCCUUAUGACUUGGGCUACACACGUGCUACAAUGGCGUAAACAAAGGGAAGCGAGAGUGUGAGCUUAAGCAAAUCUCAAAAAUAACGUCUCAGUUCGGAUUGUAGUCUGCAACUCGACUACAUGAAGCUGGAAUCGCUAGUAAUCGCGAAUCAGAAUGUCGCGGUGAAUACGUUCCCGGGUCUUGUACACACCGCCCGUCACACCAUGGGAGUUGGUAACGCCCGAAGUCAGUGACCCAACCGUAGGGAGGGAGCUGCCGAAGGCGGGACUGAUAACUGGGGUGAAGUCGUAACAAGGUAACCGUA